rnacentral:rRNA from 1 species
AGUGAACGCUGGCGGUAGGCCUAACACAUGCAAGUCGAACGGCAGCACAGUAAGAGCUUGCUCUUACGGGUGGCGAGUGGCGGACGGGUGAGGAAUACAUCGGAAUCUACUUUUUCGUGGGGGAUAACGUAGGGAAACUUACGCUAAUACCGCAUACGACCUACGGGUGAAGGCAGGGGAUCUUCGGACCUUGCGCGAUUGAAUGAGCCGAUGUCGAAUUAGCUAGUUGGCGGGGUAAAGGCCCACCAAGGCGACGAUCCGUAGCUGGUCUGAGAGGAUGAUCAGCCACACUGGAACUGAGACACGGUCCAGACUCCUACGGGAGGCAGCAGUGGGGAAUAUUGGACAAUGGGCGCAAGCCUGAUCCAGCCAUACCGCGUGGGUGAAGAAGGCCUUCGGGUUGUAAAGCCCUUUUGUUGGGAAAGAAAAGCAGCAGGUUAAUACCCCGCUGUUCUGACGGUACCCAAAGAAUAAGCACCGGCUAACUUCGUG